rnacentral:rRNA from 1 species
AGAGCGAACGCUGGCGGCAUGCCUAACACAUGCAAGUCGAACGUGAUCCAGGCUUCGGCCUGGUGAAAGUGGCAGACGGGUGAGUAACGCGUGGGAACCUGCCCUGUGGUAGGGAAUAACCGUGGGAAACUGCGGCUAAUACCCUAUGAGUCCUUCGGGAGAAAGAUUUAUCGCCAUAGGAGGGGCCCGCGUCGGAUUAGGUAGUUGGUGGGGUAACGGCCUACCAAGCCUUCGAUCCGUAGCUGGUCUGAGAGGAUGAUCAGCCACACUGGGACUGAGAUACGGCCCAGACUCCUACGGGAGGCAGCAGUGGGAAUAUUGCACAAUGGGCGAAAGCCUGAUGCAGCGACGCCGCGUGAGGGAUGAAGGCCUUGGGUUGUAAACCUCUUUCAGCAGGGACGAAGCGAAAGUGACGGUACUGCAGAAGAAGCACCGGCUAACUACGUGCCAGCAGCCGC